UGGCAUCCUGGAUCUAUGAGGUGGAAACUAACUUCCCGGAGACUGAGCCCUCAGCUGAGAAAGAUGAGGAUUGCGUUCUCACUCAUUCCCUGUCAACAUGUCGCCUUAACUCAGACCGAAUGUAGAAUCAGGAGACCCGAGACCUGGCCUGGUCCUACCACAAACUUAGGGGCUGUGAACUGCCUGGCAGCACUUGGGAGCCAGGUCUCUCCCCAUCUCCGCUGGAUCGCUUCCUGGCUCACAGUAGGCCCUCAGCAAUGGAGCGUGAGUGAGUGAACACAUGGACAAAUGGAGCUGUCAAAGGGAGAGACAUACAGACAAAUAGGGUCGGCCAAGUGCUGAACCAGGAUGGUGAGCAAAGGCUGGCAGAGUAAAAAGAGCUCCUGGCCUCUGGGAAAGAACGGGUGGGAAGGCCCUGCAGGAAAUUUGCACCUGGUCUUAGAGGAGCAGGAAUAAGAAAAGUGCAGUGAAGAGGAAAGAUGCCUCCGGUAGAAGAAACAGCCUAAAUGAAAUAAAGAGGCAGGGGCCUCUGGCAUUCCCAGGGCAUGGGGAGAAGUGCAGUGGGGCAGACCUGGAGCGUCCAGGGCUGGCAGGGGAAGCUGUGAGCUCCUAGCCCUUGGCCUCCCUUUUCACUGGAGCACGUGCCAACUCACCCCCUCUGCUCUGCCUCUCCCCACCCACCGUCCACUCACCCCGAAUACCUUGCUUAAGAAGCUCUUGCUUUCGGAAUCUCUGGGCCUGGUGUCCUGAGGUGGCAGGCCAUUCCCAAGAGCCCA